rnacentral:rRNA from 1 species
CGGCGGACGGGUGAGUAACACGUGGGUAACCUACCUAUAAGACUGGGACAACUUCGGGAAACCGGAGCUAAUACCGGAUAAGAUAUGAACCGCAUGGUUCGAUAGUGAAAGAUGGUUUUGCUAUCACUUAUAGAUGGACCCGCGCCGUAUUAGCUAGUUGGUGAGGUAACGGCUCACCAAGGCAACGAUACGUAGCCGACCUGAGAGGGUGAUCGGCCACACUGGAACUGAGACACGGUCCAGACUCCUACGGGAGGCAGCAGCU